GAUGAACGCUGGCGGCGUGCCUAAUACAUGCAAGUCGAGCGAACGGACGAGAAGCUUGCUUUUCUGAUGUUAGCGGCGGACGGGUGAGUAACACGUGGAUAACCUACCUAUAAGACUGGGAUAACUUCGGGAAACCGGAGCUAAUACCGGAUAAUAUUUUGAACCGCAUGGUUCAAAAGUGAAAGACGGUCUUGCUGUCACUUAUAGAUGGAUCCGCGCUGCAUUAGCUAGUUGGUAAGGUAACGGCUUACCAAGGCAGCGAUGCAUAGCCGACCUGAGAGGGUGAUCGGCCACACUGGAACUGAGACACGGUCCAGGCUCCUACGGGAGGCAGCAGUAGGGAAUCUUCCGCAAUGGGCGAAAGCCUGACGGAGCAACGCCGCGUGAGUGAUGAAGGUCUUCGGAUCGUAAAACUCUGUUAUUAGGGAAGAACAUAUGUGUAAGUAACUGUGCACAUCUUGACGGUACCUAAUCAGAAAGCCACGGCUAACUACGUG
rnacentral:rRNA from 1 species